AGCUUGCUCCUUUGACGUUAGCGGCGGACGGGUGAGUAACACGUGGAUAACCUACCUAUAAGACUGGGAUAACUUCGGGAAACCGGAGCUAAUACCGGAUAACAUAUUGAACCGCAUGGUUCAAUAGUGAAAGGCGGCUUUGCUGUCACUUAUAGAUGGAUCCGCGCCGUAUUAGCUAGUUGGUAAGGUAACGGCUUACCAAGGCAACGAUACGUAGCCGACCUGAGAGGGUGAUCGGCCACACUGGAACUGAGACACGGUCCAGACUCCUACGGGAGGCAGCAGUAGGGAAUCUUCCGCAAUGGGCGAAAGCCUGACGGAGCAACGCCGCGUGAGUGAUGAAGGUCUUCGGAUCGUAAAACUCUGUUAUCAGGGAAGAACAAAUGUGUAAGUAACUGUGCACAUCUUGACGGUACCUGAUCAGAAAGCCACGGCUAACUACGUGCCAGCAGCCGCGGUAAUACGUAGGUGGCAAGCGUUAUCCGGAAUUAUUGGGCGUAAAGCGCGCGUAGGCGGUUUUUUAAGUCUGAUGUGAAAGCCCACGGCUCAACCGUGGAGGGUCAUUGGAAACUGGAAAACUUGAGUGCAGAAGAGGAAAGUGGAAUUCCAUGUGUAGCGGUGAAAUGCGCAGAGAUAUGGAGGAACACCAGUGGCGAAGGCGACUUUCUGGUCUGUAACUGACGCUGAUGUGCGAAAGCGUGGGGAUCAAACAGGAUUAGAUACCCUGGUAGUCCACGCCGUAAACGAUGAGUGCUAAGUGUUAAGGGGGUUUCCGCCCCUUAGUGCUGCAGCUAACGCAUUAAGCACUCCGCCUGGGGAGUACGACCGCAAGGUUGAAACUCAAAGGAAUUGACGGGGACCCGCACAAGCGGUGGAGCAUGUGGUUUAAUUCGAAGCAACGCGAAGAACCUUACCAAAUCUUGACAUCCUUUGACUGCUCUAGAGAUAGAGUCUUCCCCUUCGGGGGACAAAGUGACAGGUGGUGCAUGGUUGUCGUCAGCUCGUGUCGUGAGAUGUUGGGUUAAGUCCCGCAACGAGCGCAACCCUUAAGCUUAGUUGCCAUCAUUAAGUUGGGCACUCUAAGUUGACUGCCGGUGACAAACCGGAGGAAGGUGGGGAUGACGUCAAAUCAUCAUGCCCCUUAUGAUUUGGGCUACACACGUGCUACAAUGGACAAUACAAAGGGCAGCUAAACCGCGAGGUCAAGCAAAUCCCAUAAAGUUGUUCUCAGUUCGGAUUGUAGUCUGCAACUCGACUACAUGAAGCUGGAAUCGCUAGUAAUCGUAGAUCAGCAUGCUACGGUGAAUACGUUCCCGGGUCUUGUACACACCGCCCGUCACACCACGAGAGUUUGUAACACCCGAAGCCGGUGGAGUAAC
rnacentral:rRNA from 1 species